UUAAAGUUUUAUUCUGGCUUUAAUUCUCAGUUUUAGAUUGAGGCACAUGUAAAUUUUAAUAUGACUAUAAUUAAAUGACUUAUUUUAAUAAUAGUUAUUUCUACCUUUUUAGGUAAAUUUUAUAAUAAAUUAAUCCUCAGUGUUUAAUGCUAAUUUAAUAAAUGAAAGUUUGAAUUGGUAAUUUUAGUUUAAAAAUAAUAACCGGUUAAAAUUUGUGCCAGCAGCCGCGGUUAGACUGAAGGUUAGAUUGAGGAAUUAUCGGUUAAAAGUAAUUAAAUGAAUAUAUAGGUAUUAAUAAAAGAUUUGUAUUAAUAAAAGGUGAAAUUAAAUUUUUAAUUAGCAGAUUUUUUAAUAAUUAAUUAAAUAAGUAUUGAAGUUACUAAGAUAAAGAUAUAAACUAGGAUUAGAUACCCUAUUAUACUUUAUUUUAAAUUAUAUUACCUGGGUAAUAAACAGUUAUAAUCUUGAAACUCAAAGAAUUUGGCGGUAUCUUAGUCUACUUAGAGGAACCUGUCCUAUAAACGACAAACCACGAAUAAUCUUACCUUGUUUUGUAAAUAUACAGUUUGUAUACCGUCAUUAUCAGAUAACUUUAUUAAAAUAUUAGUUAUUAUAAUAAGAAGUUCUUAAAAUAUUAGAUCAAGGUGCAGCUAAUAAUAAGGUAGAGAUGGGUUACAAUAAACAAAAUUAUUACGAAUUAAAAAUUUAAAAAUUUUUUUAAAGGAGGAUUUAAAUGUAAGAAUAUUUUAAUAUGUUAUUUUGACUUUAGCUCUAAGUUAUGUACACAUCGCCCGUCGCUCUCGUUAUUUAAAGCGAGAUAAGUCGUAACAUAGUAGGUGUACUGGAAAGUGUACCUAGAAAGCA
rnacentral:ncRNA from 1 species